rnacentral:ncRNA from 1 species
CCAGCAGGACGGCCUGCUGAGCGACACCCACUCGCGGGACGGCCCGC